UACGGGAGGCAGCAGUGGGGAAUCUUAGACAAUGGGCGCAAGCCUGAUCUAGCCAUGCCGCGUGAGUGAUGAAGGCCUUAGGGUCGUAAAGCUCUUUCGCCAGGGAUGAUAAUGACAGUACCUGGUAAAGAAACCCCGGCUAACUCCGUGCCAGCAGCCGCGGUAAUACGGAGGGGGUUAGCGUUGUUCGGAAUUACUGGGCGUAAAGCGCACGUAGGCGGAUUAUUAAGUGAGGGGUGAAAUCCCGGGGCUCAACCCUGGAACUGCCUCUCAUACUGGUAGUCUUGAGUUCGAGAGAGGUGAGUGGAAUUCCGAGUGUAGAGGUGAAAUUCGUAGAUAUUCGGAGGAACACCAGUGGCGAAGGCGGCUCACUGGCUCGAUACUGACGCUGAGGUGCGAAAGUGUGGGGAGCAAACAGGAUUAGAUACCCUGGUAGUCCACACCGUAAACGAUGAAUGCCAGUCGU
rnacentral:rRNA from 1 species